UUUAAUUCGAAGCAACGCGCAGAACCUUACCAGCCUUUGACAUGGCGGGACGGUCGAGAGAGAUUUCGACCUUCACUUCGGUGACCCGCGCACAGGUGCUGCAUGGCUGUCGUCAGCUCGUGUCGUGAGAUGUUGGGUUAAGUCCCGCAACGAGCGCAACCCACGUCCUCAGUUGCCAUCAUUGAGUUGGGCACUCUGGGGAGACUGCCGGUGAUAAGCCGCGAGGAAGGUGUGGAUGACGUCAAGUCCUCAUGGCCCUUACGGGCUGGGCUACACACGUGCUACAAUGGCGGUGACAGAGGGACGCGAGCCCGCGAGGGUGAGCCAAUCUCGAAAAGCCGUCUCAGUUCGGAUUGCACUCUGCAACUCGAGUGCAUGAAGUUGGAAUCGCUAGUAAUCGUGGAUCAGCACGCCA
rnacentral:rRNA from 1 species